AAGGUAGCUUGCUACUGGACCUAGCGGCGGACGGGUGAGUAAUACUUAGGAAUCUGCCUAUUAGUGGGGGACAACGUUCCGAAAGGAGCGCUAAUACCGCAUACGCCCUACGGGGGAAAGCAGGGGAUCUUCGGACCUUGCGCUAAUAGAUGAGCCUAAGUCGGAUUAGCUAGUUGGUGGGGUAAAGGCCUACCAAGGCGACGAUCUGUAGCGGGUUUGAGAGGAUGAUCCGCCACACUGGGACUGAGACACGGCCCAGACUCCUACGGGAGGCAGCAGUGGGGAAUAUUGGACAAUGGGCGCAAGCCUGAUCCAGCCAUGCCGCGUGUGUGAAGAAGGCCUUAUGGUUGUAAAGCACUUUAAGCGAGGAGGAGGCUUACCUAGCUAAUACCUAGGAUAAGUGGACGUUACUCGCAGAAUAAGCACCGGCUAACUCUGUGCCAGCAGCCGCGGUAAUACAGAGGGUGCAAGCGUUAAUCGGAAUUACUGGGCGUAAAGCGCGCGUAGGUGGCCAUUUAAGUCAAAUGUGAAAUCCCCGAGCUUAACUUGGGAAUUGCAUUCGAUACUGGAUGGCUAGAGUAUAGGAGAGGAAGGUAGAAUUCCAGGUGUAGCGGUGAAAUGCGUAGAGAUCUGGAGGAAUACCGAUGGCG
rnacentral:rRNA from 1 species